UAGGGAAUCUUCCACAAUGGACGCAAGUCUGAUGGAGCAACGCCGCGUGAGUGAAGAAGGUUUUCGGACCGUAAAGCUCUGUUGUUGGUGAAGAAGGAUAGAGAUAGUAACUGGCCUUUAUUUGACGGUAAUCAACCAGAAAGUCACGGCUAACUACGUGCCAGCAGCCGCGGUAAAUCGUAGGUGGCAAGCGUUGUCCGGAUUUAUU
rnacentral:rRNA from 1 species